rnacentral:ncRNA from 1 species
CAGAGUAGGUCGUUUUGCGUUUCAGUGUUUUGAGAACGGGGAGUUGUCUCAAAAACGAAAUGGUUCAUCCUGCGGUAAAACGACCGCAUCCCGCUGU